rnacentral:lncRNA from 1 species
GUCUGAUCUUGCUGACACCUGGGUUGCACUCAGAAUGAUGAAUGUAGAAGCUUUGGAGAGGCAAUGAAGUCACAAUACCCAUAAGCUGAAACCAGCUCAAAGGAUAGCCAUGAAUCAACUUGAGGAUCUGGUGAGCACAGGACCAGCCAGCAGCCUCAACAUAUAACAUCUUUGGCUAUGUCUAAAGAAGCUAAAGCUGCCUGCUCCAGUGAAGAGAGGAUAAAAAGGACGUUAUGUCAUGAGUAUACACUGAAGGCAUUUUCUUAGGUUUUUUUUUCUUGGUGGUGGUGGUGACGCUGAUGGUGCAGGAGGAAGAAAAGUGGGCUUCAGCCCAUUUUAUAUUUACCUUAUCUCAGUGACUUCUUAAUGGGGCAUUUAGUAAAGUAGUCACUAUCUAGUGGGUACCUACUGUCGGAGAGUGCUGUAGGAAGGGCUACUUUAUAAAGAAUUAUUAAACACUCCCAUAGUAUCUUGACCUCAGUGCUUGGUCAUUAUUUAUUCAUAUCUGGUCAAAAUUUAGGUAAAGGCAAUUGAUGUUUGAGAGCAAUAAUCCGAGGCAGCGGUCCCAGUCUCUUGCCUACUCAUAGACUGUCAGAAUCAGGCGGGGACUCUUCACCGACCUCAUUCUUGAAUCUUCUGCCCCCAGAGCACCAGAUUCAGUGUAUCUGGAGCGAGCUUCAGAAACCUCAGUUUAAAAGCCCUUCUAGAAACUUCACGUAAGGGGUGUAUCUAUCUUCUAUAUUGUAGAUUUCUAGAUAUCAAAACAGACAAUAAAAAACCUGCUUGCUUCCCUAUAAUACUUUAGAUCUUAGAAAAGUGCCCUGUUGUAAUUUUAUUUAUAUAUACAUAUUAUAUAUAUUAUAUAUCUGCAAAUAUAUCUAUAUAUAUAUACAUAUAUAUCUCUGUAUAGAUAGAUAGAUGAUAGAUAAUCUGCCCAUGUCAUUAUUCAAUAAUUUCUACUAUGACAGGUUCUUCAUUGGUUUAGUGCUACAAAGCAAGGUCUGUCUCCUGGAGAGUUAUCUGAAGGACACGUCUUCAACUAUCCCAUGUGGACAAAUUUUAUCCGGCAUUUACACUCCCUGAGAGCAGAAGCUACUAAAAGUGGCUGGAAACUCAGAGGCGGGACUUGAAACAUCAGGAAUGAAGCGCAGCAAAAAUGGUAAAUAUCUGCGUUAACAGACUGUUCUUCUGAGUUUCAAAAUGUUAGACAGUUAAAAGCAACAGCUGCCUGCAAGUUCUGGAAUCUCUUGAGGUGGGUUACUUCUGAAUUGUGUGCACUUUCUGUUCUUCCAGAAACAGCCUUGAGAGAACGGGGGCUCACAAUGGCAACUAUGUUACACCAAGUGCUAUAAGCAGCUGGAAACGUAUUCAGAUACAUGGUAUUGGGAACAUUUUGAGAUACUUUUGUUAUUAAAGACCUUGAUUCAGGUUAGAAUUUAUAAAGACCUUAUCAGAGAGAUUAAC